GAUGAACGCUAGCUACAGGCUUAACACAUGCAAGUCGAGGGGAAACGAUAUUGGAAGCUUGCUUCUGAUAGGCGUCGACCGGCGCACGGGUGAGUAACGCGUAUCCAACCUGCCCAUCACUUGGGGAUAACCUUGCGAAAGUAAGACCAAUACCCAAUGACGUCUCUAGAAGACAUCUGAAAGAGAUUAAAGAUUUAUCGGUGAUGGAUGGGGAUGCGUCUGAUUAGCUUGUUGGCGGGGUAACGGCCCACCAAGGCGACGAUCAGUAGGGGUUCUGAGAGGAAGGUCCCCCACAUUGGAACUGAGACACGGUCCAAACUCCUACGGGAGGCAGCAGUGAGGAAUAUUGGUCAAUGGACGAGAGUCUGAACCAGCCAAGUAGCGCGCAGGAAGACGGCCCUAUGGGUUGUAAACUGCUUUUAUAAGGGAAUAAAGUGAGUCUCGUGAGACUUUUUGCAUGUACCUUAUGAAUAAGGACCGGCUAAUUCCGUGCCAGCAGCCG
rnacentral:rRNA from 1 species